rnacentral:rRNA from 1 species
CAGGGAAUAUUGCACAAUGGGCGAAAGCCUGAUGCAGCAACGCCGCGUGAGGGAUGAAGGUCUUCGGAUUGUAAACCUCUUUUUCAGGGGACGAGAGAGGACGGUACCCUGAGAAUAAGCAACGGCUAACUACGUGCCAGCAGCCGCGGUAAUACGUAGGUUGCGAGCGUUAUUCGGAUUUACUGGGCGUAAAGCGCACCGAGGUGGCUUCUUAAGUUGGAUGUAAAAUCUCCCGGCUUAACUGGGAGGCGCCAUUCAAUACUGAGGAGCUUGAGGUCAGCAGGGGAAAGUGGAAUUCCCGGUGUAGUGGUGGAAUGCGUAGAGAUCGGGAGGAACACCAGUGGCGAAAGCGACUUUCUGGGCUGCACCUGACACUCUAGUGCGAAAGCGUGGGGAGCAAACAG